GCCCCCACCAAGCAUAAACUCUUGUUAAAAGAGCUGAAGGCCAAGAUGGCCGACAUCGCACUGAUACAAGAAACGUAUAUUCCGGAGCAGCAUCCAUCAGGCUGUGCAAUCGAAUGUAUACCAUGACCUAUGAGGCAAGAGCAGGCGCAGGUGUAGCUAUCCUGAUACAUAAGCCGGGUGACAGGAACACAAAUAGACCAGAGAUAUAACCAUCAUGGGCACAUUACACACAACCAAAG